ensembl:lncRNA
GUGACGGCACAUCUGGCCCUGCUGCUGGGAGGGAGCCCUGUGGGCUGUGCGCUGCCCUCAGCCCUUGUCCUCCAAUUCAGGUCAAGUUACUGCUCCAGUAGCUUUGUGCAGUGGAUGGAGGUGGGGAGGGUGCAGGGAGUGGGGCUUCUUCAGCUGCAUCAUGGCACAGUCACGUGUGACCGAGUUACACAGACAGGUUGGUUGGCGUGAGAAGCUCCUGCGUAACAUUUGGUGCCAUAGGAAGCUCCCAGCUGUGGCGCUUGGCUGGAUGCUGUGUGGGAGGCCAAUCAGGUUAUACCUGAAGUGCCUGAGGGCUGCUGGUGGCUCUCAGCCCAUUUCCUGUGCUGCAGGAAUGUUCCGGUCUCUGCUCCCCAUCCUGUGCCUUUGAAGAUGAGGGGGCGUUUUGUUGCUGUGCAAAAUUUGCAGUGUCAAUUAAUCAGCGUGUCCCAGGGGAAGGAGCUCUCUCAAAUGGAGUUCAAAGAUGAUGAAGGUGUGCUGUGAACAAGCACUGAGAUAUUGACCUGCUCUUAAAGUGAGCCCAAUGACAUUGGGUUCUGACAGAGGGACCUGAGCCUGGCCGUGCUUUUAUAGCCAUACAACAGCACAUCCAGACCACCCCUCCCUGCUGUAGAAGAGGUAACCAUGUUCUGCCUGCACCUGCCUGUGACCACAGGCAGCAGGCCCACCUACAGCAAUGAGCUCCCCUGGGUACCACAGUGAGCAAGCUCUCAUGCAGUGCAGGUGAGUGGAUGUAAUGGAGAGCACACACCUGGAGGGAGGGUCUGGCCUCCAAGGCCAGCAGGGGGACAGGUCCUUGGUUGAGUUCCUUGCUUCAGCCAGGUGCCAGCAGUACUGUGUGCUACCUUGUGCUGGGGUUAAAUCACAGCUGUGGGCACAGACAACGAGCAGCCAGGACCCAGCACUGCUUUCCUUAGAUCCUAUUGACUCAGCUUUACAACAGGACAGUCUUUUGCAUCCUGUCUCCACAACACAGAUGUAAAAUUCACAGCUCCUCAACUGGAAGUGUCUUUGUGGCCUAAUAAUACAUCUCUGUAU